rnacentral:tRNA from 1 species
GGUUCUAUGGUGUAAUGGUUAGCACUCUGGACUCUGAAUCCAGCGAACUGAGUUCAAAUCUCGGUAGGACCU